rnacentral:rRNA from 1 species
UACAGAGGGGGCAAGCGUUGUUCGGAAUUACUGGGCGUAAAGGGCGCGUAGGCGGCCUGCUAAGUCGAACGUGAAAUCCCCGAGCUCAACUCGGGAACUGCGUCCGAUACUGGCAGGCUUGAAUCCGGGAGAGGGAUGCGGAAUUCCAGGUGUAGCGGUGAAAUGCGUAGAUAUCUGGAGGAACACCGGUGGCGAAGGCGGCAUCCUGGACCGGGCAUUGACGCUGAGGCGCGAAAGCCAGGGGAGCAAAGCGGG